rnacentral:rRNA from 1 species
GGAAGAAAGUCGAAUGUCUAGAGUAGAGAUAUAAUAUUGUGAUACUAGAUGGACGGACAACGGCGUAGGCAACUUUCUAUGUAGAAACUGACGUUGAGGGACGAAGCCCUGGGUAGCAAUAAGGAUUAGGUACCCCAGUAGUCCAGGGAGACAAUGAUGAGUGCCAUAGGCUAGAUAAAUUAGCCUAUAAAUGAAAGUGCAAGCAUUCCACCUCAAGACUAAAGCGGCAACGCCCAAAUUGAAAUCAUUAGACCGUUCCUGAAACCAGUAGUGAAGUAUGUUAUUUAAUUCGAUGAUCCGCGAAUAACCUUACCACGUUUUGAAUACUUUUUGUAAAAGCACUCCUGCUUUUAUUACCACAAAUUGUACAAGCGCUGCACGGCUGUCUUUAGUUAAUGUCGUGAGACUUUGGUUAACUCCUUUAAUUAACGAAAACCCUUGUUUUAUUUGUUUAUAAAACAGUUCUCCGCUAUAUUGGAUAAGAUAAUAGGGAUUAAGGCAAGUCAUCAUGGCCUUAAUAGCGUGGGCUAUAGACGUGCCACAUAUGCCUUUACAAAAGGAUGUCUGAUAUUG